rnacentral:rRNA from 1 species
GAUGAACGCUGGCGGCGUGCCUAAUACAUGCAAGUCGAGCGAACAGACGAGGAGCUUGCUCCUCUGACGUUAGCGGCGGACGGGUGAGUAACACGUGGAUAACCUACCUAUAAGACUGGGAUAACUUCGGGAAACCGGAGCUAAUACCGGAUAAUAUAUUGAACCGCAUGGUUCAAUAGUGAAAGACGGUUUUGCUGUCACUUAUAGAUGGAUCCGCGCCGCAUUAGCUAGUUGGUAAGGUAACGGCUUACCAAGGCAACGAUGCGUAGCCGACCUGAGAGGGUGCGCGCCCACACUGGAACUGAGACACGGUCCAGCCUCCUACGGGAGGCAGCAGUAGGGAAUCUUCCGCAGUGGGCGAAAGCCUGACGGAGCAACCCCGCGUGAGUGAUAAAGGUCUUCGGAUCGUAAACCUCUUUUAUUAGGGAAAAACAAAUGUGUAAUUAACUAUGCACUUCUUGACGGUACCUAAUAAGAAAGCCACGCCUAACUACGUG